AGAGAAGGCCGCCAUAAUCGAG
rnacentral:siRNA from 1 species